AACGAACGCUGGCGGCAUGCCUAACACAUGCAAGUCGAACGAGACCUUCGGGUCUAGUGGCGCACGGGUGCGUAACGCGUGGGAAUCUGCCCUUGGGUUCGGAAUAACAGUGAGAAAUUACUGCUAAUACCGGAUGAUGUCUUCGGACCAAAGAUUUAUUGCCCAGGGAUGAGCCCGCGUAGGAUUAGCUAGUUGGUGGGGUAAUGGCCUACCAAGGCGACGAUCCUUAGCUGGUGUGAGAGGAUGAUCAGCCACACUGGGACUGAGACACGGCCCAGACUCCUACGGGAGGCAGCAGUGGGGAAUAUUGGACAAUGGGCGAAAGCCUGAUCCAGCAAUGCCGCGUGAGUGAUGAAGGCCUUAGGGUUGUAAAGCUCUUUUACCAGGGAUGAUAAUGACAGUACCUGGAGAAUAAGCUCCGGCUAACUCCGUGCCAGCCGCCGCAGUAA
rnacentral:rRNA from 1 species